GACGAACGCUGNNNGCGUGCCUAAUACAUGCAAGUCGAGCGAGCUUGCCUAGAUGAAUUUGGUGCUUGCACCAGAUGAGACUAGAUACAAGCGAGCGGCGGACGGGUGAGUAACACGUGGGUAACCUGCCCAAGAGACUGGGAUAACACCUGGAAACAGAUGCUAAUACCGGAUAACAACACUAGACGCAUGUCUAGAGUUUAAAAGAUGGUUCUGCUAUCACUCUUGGAUGGACCUGCGGUGCAUUAGCUAGUUGGUAAGGUAACGGCUUACCAAGGCAAUGAUGCAUAGCCGAGUUGAGAGACUGAUCGGCCACAUUGGGACUGAGACACGGCCCAAACUCCUACGGGAGGCAGCAGUAGGGAAUCUUCCACAAUGGACGCAAGUCUGAUGGAGCAACGCCGCGUGAGUGAAGAAGGGUUUCGGCUCGUAAAGCUCUGUUGGUAGUGAAGAAAGAUAGAGGUAGUAACUGGCCUUUAUUUGACGGUAAUUACUUAGAAAGUCACGGCUAACUACGUGCCAGCAGCCGCGGUAAUACGUAGGUGGCAAGCGUUGUCCGGAUUUAUUGGGCGUAAAGCGAGUGCAGGCGGUUCAAUAAGUCUGAUGUGAAAGCCUUCGGCUCAACCGGAGAAUUGCAUCAGAAACUGUUGAACUUGAGUGCAGAAGAGGAGAGUGGAACUCCAUGUGUAGCGGUGGAAUNCGUAGAUAUAUGGAAGAACACCAGUGGCGAAGGCGGCUCUCUGGUCUGCAACUGACGCUGAGGCUCGAAAGCAUGGGUAGCGAACAGG
rnacentral:rRNA from 1 species